GGUGGUUCUUGGGUGACACACCUCAGAAUCGGGCCCCCUCCUCUCUGGUUCCGGUUGUAUCACCCAAGAAUACA
rfam:Myotis davidii contig134529, whole genome shotgun sequence.